UACGGAGGGCGCGAGCGUUGUUCGGAUUUAUUGGGCGUAAAGGGCGCGUAGGCGGGCGAGUCAGUCCGGUGUAAAAUCUUCACCGCUCAACGGGAAGGCGCCACCGGAAACAACUCGUCUUGAGGCCAUUAGAGGGAAACGGAAUUCCUGGUGUAGCGGUGGAAUGCGUAGAUAUCAGGAAGAACACCGAUUGCGAAGGCGGUUUCCUGGGGUGGCCCUGACGCUGAGGCGCGACAGCCAGGGGA
rnacentral:rRNA from 1 species